UAUGGUAUAGUGGUUAGUGCAUUGCGUUGUUGCCGCAAUAACCCAGGUUCGGAUCCUGGUA
rnacentral:tRNA from 1 species